rnacentral:lncRNA from 1 species
UUUUGCAGGAUGGCGCUCUUGAGGAAAGCCGAGACUGAAAGUGAAAGAUGGCCAGAGUUGUGUGCAUUCCAGAGGCUUCUCCAAAAGGCCACAUCAGGAUCCAGCGGACGGACAUGAGAGGACAGAGAGCGAAGUGGCUGUGGUGGUGGAGGGGGGAGUCCUCCAGCCUGUCGAAAAGGAAGCCACACAGAAACGGGCAAGGAGAGAGAAGGGGAGCGCUCAGCACAGUAUGAUUUUUGCUUCUUCUUCAACAUGGAAAAAUGAACACCAGGAAGACUGGGGCAAAAGGUUUUUUUUUUCAUUUUUGAGUUGUCACAAUCAUCUGAUGCACGAUGAUUUUGAGCAUGUUUGAUUCUGCCAAGACAUGGCCUCAGCAGCAGGGUGAAAGAGGUGGCAUUCCAAAGUGGUGGCUGUUGGACAAUUUAGCAGCAUUUCAUAACAAUUUCCCAAAAUGGAAUCAUAAGAUGAUCUUCAAAUGCCAACGUUCCCCAUCAAAACCUGUCGCACCGACCCAUGCCGUUUUCUUCAUGUUCCGUAGUAAGUGGACAGUCAUGCUGACUUAAAUUGAAAUGAUAUGUAAUUUACUGGUGAACUAGAAGGUUCUACAUUGUCAAGAGCAACUUAAGCACCACACAACAGUGGCACUGGAGACAUAGCAACUGGACCAGGAGGCUGGGAUGCCAACAUAGGAAACUGAGGGAUCAAACAUUUGUGUUAGUACGAGAAAAGUAGCAAAUUUUGUCAAGUACAUUUUGUAAGUGGUUUUGUUUGGCAGAACACAAGGUUCAAUAAAGCCCUGGAAAAUACCA